GGCUCCAUAGCUCAGUGGACAGAGAGUGCUGGUCUCCGAAACCAGAGGUCGCGAGUUCGAUUCUCGCUGGAGUCC
rfam:Astyanax mexicanus chromosome 21, whole genome shotgun sequence.